rnacentral:rRNA from 1 species
GACGAACGCUGGCGGCGUGCUUAACACAUGCAAGUCGAACGGAGUGGCGAACGGGUGAGUAACACGUGGGUGAUCUGCCUUGCAAUUCGGGAUAAGCUUGGGAAACUGGGUCUAAUACCGGAUAGUGCAAGAUUAGCUCGCGGCCUAUACGCUUGUUGGUGGGGUAAUGGCCUACCAAGGCGUAGACGGGUAGCCGGCCUGAGAGGGGGUACGGCCACAUGAGGACUGCGGUACGGACCAGACGCCUACAGGAGGCAGCAGUGGAGAAUAUUGCACAAUGGGCGGAAGCCUGAUGCAGCGACGCCGCGUGGGGGAUGAAGGCCUUCGGGUUGUAAACGCCUUUCGACAGGGACGCGGUACCUGUAUAAGAAGCACCGGCUAACUACGUGCCAGCAGCCGCGGUAAUUC